rnacentral:rRNA from 1 species
AGUGAACGCUGGCGGUAGGCCUAACACAUGCAGGUCGAACGGCAGCACAGUAAGAGCUUGCUCUUACGGGUGGCGAGUGGCGGACGGGUGAGGAAUACAUCGGAAUCUACUUUUUCGUGGGGGAUAACGUAGGGAAACUUACGCUAAUACCGCAUACGACCUACGGGUGAAAGCAGGGGAUCUUCGGACCUUGCGCGAUUGAAUGAGCCGAUGUCGGAUUAGCUAGUUGGCGGGGUAAAGGCCCACCAAGGCGACGAUCCGUAGCUGGUCUGAGAGGAUGAUCAGCCGCACUGGAACUGAGACACGGUCCAGACUCCUACGGGAGGCAGCAGUGGGGAAUAUUGGACAAUGGGCGCAAGCCUGAUCCAGCCAUACCGCGUGGGUGAAGAAGGCCUUCGGGUUGUAAAGCCCUUUUGUUGGGAAAGAAAAGCAGCAGGUUAAUACCCCGCUGUUCUGACGGUACCCAAAGAAUAAGCACCGGCUAACUUCGUG